rnacentral:rRNA from 1 species
GACGAACGCUGGCGGCGUGCUUAACACAUGCAAGUCGAACGGUGAAGCGCCUUCCUUUUUGGUGGGUGUGGAUGAGUGGCGAACGGGUGAGUAACACGUGAGUAACCUGCCCCCUUCUUCUGGAUAACCGCAGGAAAGUGUGGCUAAUACGGGAUAUUCUGGGUCUGUCGCAUGAUGGGUCUGGGAAAGAUAUUGUUUCGGUGGGGGAUGGGCUCGCGGCCUAUCAGCUUGUUGGUGGGGUGAUGGCCUACCAAGGCGGUGACGGGUAGCCGGCCUGAGAGGGUGGACGGUCACACUGGGAAUGAGACACGGCCCAGACUCCUACGGGAGGCAGCAGGGGGGAAUAGUGCACAAUGGGCGCAAGCAUGAUGCAGCGACGCCGCGGGAGGGAUGGAGGCCUUCGGGUUGUGAACCUCUUUCGCCAGUGAAGCAGGCCUGCCUCGUUUGUGGGUGGGUUGACGGUAGCUGGAUAAGAAGCGCCGGCUAACUACGUG